rnacentral:lncRNA from 1 species
GAAAGGUCGCUGAAAGGUUUAGCUCUGCUUGCUUUGAGUCCCCCGUUCACUGGAGUAGCACAGAACUCUCAAGCCACGCAGCAAAACAAAGCAAUCUUUGCCAUAGAGAACACCUCUGCUUGCAAAGAGCUUUGCUGCACAGCCUGAAAAUCCAAGAUGAAAAGGCCUAUUUGCGUUUCUAUUUGUGUUGUUUGAUGUUGCCUACUAAAUACAACUGGAUCAAGCAGCACUUCAGCGCUAGAAAAACUAUCCAGCAUCCUGAGCACUCGUGUGGUUGGACUUGGCUUUGGGUGUUGACUCAUAGGCAGUGCUCACUGUGCUGAAUGGAGGAACCAUGGCUGCAGCAUUACUGAAAGCUCAGAGGAGUGAAGCAGUGCUCACUGCCUGGAGAACAUGAGCCCAACUGUCAAUCUGUCCAUCCGUCCAUCCAUCCACCCAUCCACCCACCCACUCAUCCAUCCAUCCAUCCAUCCAUCCAUCUGUCCGUCCUCCCAGCUCCAUGCCUCUCUUCCACCACCACAGAACUGAGAGUGCAGUACAGCCAGAGUGAACCAAAAUCCCAGGGAAAUAAUGUGAUUAUUUCAAAAAGCAUUAAUUUAAGAAGAUGAUCGUGAGCUCUUUGCUGAGUCCCACCUGAUUUAUCCCCCAUCAG